rnacentral:rRNA from 1 species
CCUACGGGAGGCAGCAGUGAGGAAUAUUGGUCAAUGGCCGGAAGCCUGAACCAGCCAAGCCGCGUGCAGGACGACGGUGCCAAGCGUUGUAAACUUCUUUUAUCCGGGGACAACGUCAGUCUCGAGUGCCUGUCCGCGUGUACUUGAUGAAAAAGCAUCGGCUAACUCCGUGCCAGCAGCCGCGGUAAUACGGAAGGUGCGGGCGUUAUCCGGAUUUAUUGGGUUUAAAGGGUGCGUAGGCGGGAUGUUAAGUCUGCGGUGAAAUGUCCGGGCUCAACCCGGGCCGAGCAGUGCAAACUGGCGUUCUUGAGAUGGCGGAAGGCAGGCGGAAUGCGUAGUGUAGCGGUGAAAUGCUUAGAUAUGACGAAGAACCCCGAUUGCGAAGGCAGCAUACUGGAGGGGAUCUGACGCUGAGGCACGAAAGCGCGGGUAUCGAACAGGAUUAGAUACCCGGGUAGUC